CCUACGGGAGGCAGCAGUGGGGAAUAUUGCACAAUGGGCGCAAGCCUGAUGCAGCAACGCCGCGUGAGGGACGACGGCCUUCGGGUUGUAAACCUCUUUUAGUAGGGAAGAAGCGAAAGUGACGGUACCUGCAGAAAAAGCACCGGCUAACUACGUGCCAGCAGCCGCGGUAAUACGUAGGGUGCAAGCGUUAUCCGGAAUUAUUGGGCGUAAAGAGCUCGUAGGCGGUUUGUCGCGUCUGCUGUGAAAACUGGAGGCUCAACCUCCAGCCUGCAGUGGGUACGGGCAAACUAGAGUGCGGUAGGGGAGAUUGGAAUUCCUGGUGUAGCGGUGGAAUGCGCAGAUAUCAGGAGGAACACCGAUGGCGAAGGCAGAUCUCUGGGCCGUAACUGACGCUGAGGAGCGAAAGCAUGGGGAGCGAACAGGAUUAGAUACCCUGGUAGUCCAUGCCGUAAACGUUGGGCGCUAGAUGUGGGGACCAUUCCACGGUUUCCGUGUCGCAGCUAACGCAUUAAGCGCCCCGCCUGGGGNGACGCGCGAGACGAACACAAGAAGUAGACGCGUGAGACGNGCGACGACGACGACGAGGGAGAG
rnacentral:rRNA from 1 species